rnacentral:rRNA from 1 species
AUGGGAAUCUGCCCAGUCGUGGGGAUAACGUAGGGAAACUUACGCUAACUACCGCAUGCGCCCUUCGGGGGAAAGCCGGGGGACCUUCGGGCCUGGCGCGAUUGGAUGAGCCCAUGUCGGAUUAGCUAGUUGGCGGGGUAAUGGCCCACCAAGGCGACGAUCCGUAGCUGGUCUGAGAGGAUGAUCAGCCACACUGGAACUGAGACACGGUCCAGACUCCUACGGGAGGCAGCAGUAGGGAAUAUUGGACAAUGGGCGCAAGCCUGAUCCAGCCAUGCCGCGUGAGUGAAGAAGGCCCUCGGGUUGUAAAGCUCUUUUGUCCGGAAAGAAAAGCGCCGGGUUAAUACCCUAGUGUCCUGACGGUACCGGAAGAAUAAGCACCGGCUAACUUCGUG